rnacentral:rRNA from 1 species
CGAGCGGGAAGAGCUCAAAUUUAUAAUCUGGCACUUUCAGUGUCCGAGUUGUAAUCUCUAGAAGUGUUUUCCGCGUUGGACCGCACACAAGUCUGUUGGAAUACAGCGGCACAGUGGUGACACCCCCGUACACGGUGCGGACGCCCAGCGCUUUGUGAUACACUUUCGAAGAGUCGAGUUGUUUGGGAAUGCAGCUCAAAUUGGGUGGUAAAUUCCAUCUAAAGCUAAAUAUUGGCGAGAGACCGAUAGCGAACAAGUACCGUGAGGGAAAGAUGAAAAGCACUUUGGAAAGAGAGUUAACAGUACGUGAAAUUGUUGGAAGGGAAACGCUUGAAGUCAGACUUGCUUGCCGGAGCUUGCUUCGGUUUGCAGGCCAGCAUCAGUUUUCCGGGGUGGAUAAUGGCGGUUAGAAGGUAGCAGCUUCAGCUGUGUUAUAGCUUUCCGCUGGAUACAUCCUGGGGGACUGAGGAACGCAGCGUGCUUUUAGCGGGGGUUUCGACCUCUUCACGCUUAGGAUGCUGGUGUAAUGGCUUUAAACGAC